rnacentral:lncRNA from 1 species
UUCUUUCAUGGUCAUUUUUUUAAAACAACUUAUAAGGAUAUCAAUAGAUUAUAUUUUAUAGUUUUAGAUAAAAAAAAUUCAAAUAUUAAUACUUUACAAUAUAAAUGAAUAAAUUAAUCAUAAAGAUCUGCAUAUUAUCUUCUUUUGGUGUUCAAAACAUAUAUUUAAUUUUUAUAAAAAAGUGUAAAAUAAGUUAAUCAUUCUACCAAUGUUGAUUUGUUAUAGUAAACAUAGUCACCUUGUGAAGGCUACUAUAGGUUUCAUAUUUCUAAUAAAAGUAGCUCUACGUUAUUUUCACAAUUUGUUUUGUUUUUUCAUCACAUUAACUCAUCUUUGUCUAUAUAAAAUCUCAUUUUCUUUAUUUCUAUUUUUUAUGGUCAUUUUUUUAAAACAACAUAUCAUGAUAUCAAUACAUUAUAUUUUAGAAUAUUAGAAGUAAAAAAACUCUAAUAUCAAUACAUUACAAUUUAUGUCAAUAAAAUUAAUCAUAAAAAAUCUCCAUAUUCUCUUAUUUAAAUGUUUAAAAGAUAUAUUUAAUUUUUAAAAAUGGUAUAAAAUAAGUAAAUUAUUCUACGAAUGUUGAUUUGGUAUAGAAGACAUGGUCACCUUGAGAAGACUACUAUGUUAAACAAAUACAUUAAGUAGCUAAGUAAUUUGUUUAUGUUUAUGUCAUUUUAAUUCAAAGACAUGCAUUUGAAGUGUUUCCGCACAUCCUAUAAUGUUCAAAUCAAACUCAUCUGUUUUCCCAUAUAUCCAUCUAAUAGGUUUCAUGUUUCUAAUAAAAGUAGUUCUAUGCUAUUUUCACAAUUUGUUUUGAUUUGCAUAGCUUUAGCUCAUCUUUGUCUAUAUAAAAUGUCAUUUUCUUUAUUUCUUUCUUUCAUGGUCAUUUUUUUAAAACAACUUAUAAGGAUAUCAAUACAUUAUAUUUUAGAAUUUUAGAUAAAGAAAUUCAAAUAUUAAUACAUUACAAUAUAAAUGAAUAAAAUUAAUCAUAAAAAUUUGCAUAUUAUCUGUUUUUAGUGUUUAAAACAUAUACUUAAUUUUU